GAUGAACGCUGGCGGCGUGCCUAAUACAUGCAAGUCGAGCGAACAGACGAGGAGCUUGCUCCUCUGACGUUAGCGGCGGACGGGUGAGUAACACGUGGAUAACCUACCUAUAAGACUGGGAUAACUUCGGGAAACCGGAGCUAAUACCGGAUAAUAUAUUGAACCGCAUGGUUCAAUAGUGAAAGACGGUUUUGCUGUCACUUAUAGAUGGAUCCGCGCCGCAUUAGCUAGUUGGUAAGGUAACGGCUUACCAAGGCAACGAGGCCUACCCGAACUGAGAGGGGGAAUCGGCACCCGGGAAACUGGACACGGGCCCAACCCCUAAGGGGGGGAGGAAUGGGGAAAAUUGCAGAAAGGGGGGAAGCCCGAACCGGCCAACGCGGGGGGGGGGAAAAGGCUUUCGGGUUUGAAAAACCUUGUUUUGGGGGAAAAAAAAAUGUGUAAAAAACUACGCUGUUCUGACGGGAACCAAAGAAGAAGCCCCGGCCAAACUCGUG
rnacentral:rRNA from 1 species